rnacentral:lncRNA from 1 species
AAUUGUUAGUACAAGGUGCUGUGUGGACUGUGUAAUAGAGAAGAGUCUGGAACAGAGAGGGCUAAGAGAAUAAAAGCCAGGACUCAAAACCGGGACCUCUGACUUCAAGACCUCCUCUACAAAAUGAAUAACUGAGAGCAGCCAGUCCAGUAAUAAGACUGCCCUCCAGCAAGGCAAAUGAAGAACAGGAUGAGCCAAGAACUAAAGUGACAACUUUUUCUCCCUGAACAAAAUCUGUCCAAAAUAGGCAAGUCUUUCAGCAUGGCAGGGAUUUACCAGAAUCGCUCUGGCAUCAUCCUCUGACUUGUUUUUCAGUCAUGUCUAACUCUUCCUGGAGUUUUUUUGGCAAAGACACUGGAGUGCUUGGCCAUUUUCUUCUCCAGCUCAUUUGACAGAUGAGGAAGCGGAGGCGAGCAGGGUGAAGUGACUUGCCCAGGGUCACGCUGUUAGUGUCCGAGGUCAGAUUUGAGCUCAAGUUUUCCCCAACAUCAGACCUGGAUAUUCUAUCCUUUGUGCCACCUACCUGUUCCUUUGACUUAAAGUUGUACAAAAAUGUUUGUCAUCUCCACAGCUUCUAGGGAACCACCAUCAUAUUCCAGAAAAAGUCUGUUCAAGCCUCAUUUUCCUGGAUGGCGGAGGAAGUUAGAAACCAACUCCACACUUUAGUAUGAGUAUUUAUUUCUUUCUCCUGGACAGAUACAUCCACAUUCAGGCAGCAAAGGUUCCCCCAUUUUGCUCCUUCAGGAGCCCCCCGAAAAUGUUCCAUUUACAUGCAUUAAAAAUAGGUAUUAGUGAAGGACACAGUGAGUCACUGAGAGUAGCUCCAACAGAAGAGCCCUCAGUUCGGUUGGCCAGGCUUGCCAAUGCUGGUUUUACCUGCCAUAAGCUAGCCAAUACUCCACCUUGCCAGUAUUGUUAUUUCAACAAAGGGAGCUUUUCCAAAACCACAAGGAGUCCCUCAAUCCCAAGCCAAAGCAGAGUUUUACUGCUGUUCUGGAUGGGGCUUGAGUGUGUGUUCUUUGGGUUGGCAGGAGACUGGAAGCACCAAAAACCCUAA